GUCUCCUUCCAUAGGUUUGCAAGGGGACACUUGCUUACUAUGGAUCUUCUUCCACAGGGUUACAGGGGAUAAUGGUUUAAGAGUUUACCCCUGUUUCCCUAUGGAGGUCCCUCCCCAUGGGAGAACAGUCCUUGAUUGACUUCUCGGCAUGGGUCUAGUCUGGAUCCCUUACUCGGAUCCCAAUAUCCCACCUGAGCCGUCUUGCUCCAGCGUGGGUUUCCCUCAGGGUCACAAAUCUUCAGCACUAGCAGUAUGGAUCUCUCACUGAGAUCCCAAGCUUAUCCAAGUCGUCCUUGCUCCGGCAUAAGCAUCAUCCCCUUCAAGGGUCACAAAGUCUUUAACAGGACUCUGCCUCACCUGAGCCGCUUCUGCUCCAUCAUAAGGCUUUUUCUGUCAAAGUCACAAAUCUCUGGUGCAUCCACAAGCUCCUCUGUGAGCCGCAUGGGGAGUCUCUUCACUCUAACAAACUUUUACAAGUGGCAGGGAUUUUAUUUUUCAGUCUUUACUCUGCUGAAGGGAGGGAGAGCGAAAGGGAGAAAAAGCAGCUCUCCCCCCUUCGAACCUUUCCUCUCUCUCCUGCGACUGCCAGCUUUGACCUUGAAAAUCCUUUAUCUCUUCGCUGGAAUUUCUCUGCAGCGGUUUCUGUCCAAGCAGUUCAUUUUUUAAACCUUUUUAUUUUCUUCACUCUUUUACAGAAGAGAAGGGAGGCUUCAGUACUACACCUGCCCCCCCUGGCCCAAGCUGGGGAGGAGGGGGCCUUGGCCCUCCUCGGGCCCGCUACCCUUCUACAUGGCUGCUGCUCCUAAUUUCAACUGCGCACACCAACCUUCUCUUCCGUUUUCUUAAAGAUGUAAUUAGCAAAGGCGUCACUGAACUUUUUGAUUGGUUUUUUUGUCCGGAAAUCACCUGGACAAAACCAUCCUCAGCCCCAGGGAUGGGCUGUUGGGCAAAACCACGACAAUUCCCCCCUUCGCCUUUGAGAAUUACAUUUUAAGAAAUCUUAAAUUCUACAAUAAAUGUACAACUAUAAAUAAACAAACUAUAACUAAAAAUUACUCUAUUAAAAAUUAAAACAACAUCAUUAUAAUACUUAACUCUAUUAGUGUUUUUUUACCACAACUACAGUACACAUGGUCAAUCUAUUUUUGUUUGCAGACUUCUCUCUCAGUUAUCUUAAAAUCAUUAUGGUCAAUUCCUCACAUGAGGCAUUACAAAUGUUGGGGUUUGAUUUGGCUACUGCCUCUCUGGGCAGUCAACUCUGAGAGCAAAGUGCAUAAAUAAUGUGAGCUUGAUACCAUGUUCCAGAAAACUGGACUAUCUAGUUCCUAUUUAAAACUAUAGGUGGAUACCAAUCUUACUCGUUACCUCAAUCAAUCAAUGUGAGUGAAUAAUGUAUCUACUUUUUUGUCCUUCUAAUUGGAGUGAGAUUUUUUGGGGUUUUUUUAUGAAGUAUAUUGAUUGGAACUGAUGUUUUGGAUGUUUUUUGAGGUGGGGUUGGGUUGGAUUGUUUUUUUUAAGAACAAGGUUUUUCAGUAACAGUUUUGUUCUUAAAGGUUUCUCAAGUCUAAGCUGAAACUGCUGAUCAUGAUGACCAGACAGAGCAAGGUGUAGGGAACCUCCUGGUAACUCACAGCUCAAAGAAGGGGACACUCAUUUAGAAAGUGAUAUAAUUAGAUUCACAGUCCUGACCUGGAUAAGACAUGAGCUUAAGCCUCGCCACAGUAGAGUGCACUUACCUCCACUUGCCUCUUAGAUCUUCUUGCACUGCCUGUACUAUCUCCUGUCAAGGGCCACUUUAACCCGAGAGAGAGAGCUCAAUUAUUAGACAAUGAGAAAACCUGGUUCAAAGUCUCACCUGAUGGGACAAGGUGUACCUACAGUCAAGCCUCUUGGAUCUCUCCAACCUUGGUGAACAAUCUGGGCAUCAAAAUACUCUGGAAUGAGGCUCUCUAUUAUAUUUUGUCUUUAUUGUGAAUAUAAAUAAAGAAUGUAUAUUUUGGAAAUGCUCUAAGGAACACUUGAAUAAAUCUUAACUCAUUAAGUAUCAUACUGGAAAUAGUUUUUUAUUACAAUUACUAAAGAAAUGGAAAUAGAAAUCACUGAAAAAUAUACUUAAAAAUUAGUAGCAUUAGCCUAAAUAUUCAUAAUACAAACAAGAAAUCUUUUAAACAAGGUCAAAAGAUACAGUAGCAACAAUUCAUAGUUAAAGCUCUAUUAUUUUUUGAAAAUGUUGCUGUACAACAUCAGGGGAAAAAAAUAAUGUGCUGCAAAAUCUUAGGUAUAUGCAUAAAUUUUUUAAAUACUCUCUUGCCUGAUUAUAAUUAUUCAUAUACAUGGGAAAUUGUAAGGUGAUGAAUGUCAAUAUGUACAGUAAAAAUAACUUUUAACUACAUUCAUAUGGCAAGGAAGGACUGUUGUUAAUCUUUUUUGUAACAGCUUAAAUGAUCAUUAUUCUUGCUUUUGUUGAUAGCUUUUUCCUGCUUAACUGUUGAAAAUAUUUUAGUACUGUAUGGUGGCCUUUCUCCAGGUUUACACAAUAUUGUUUUCCUGUUUCAAGAGGGAAAAUUUACAUUAAGUUUCAUAUAUAGUAAUUGACAUUUAUAGUGCAUGUGGGAUUGAUUACUUUUACACAUGAGAAAGCUUCAACCUUAAAAUAUACCAAAUAUGAGACAAUA